rnacentral:rRNA from 1 species
UCGGCCUACGGGACGCAGCAGUGGGGAAUAUUGCGCAAUGGGCGAAAGCCUGACGCAGCGACGCCGCGUGAGGGAUGAAGGUCUUCGGAUCGUAAACCUCUGUCAGCAGGGAAGAACGGUCACUGUGCUAAUCAGCAGUGAAUUGACGGUACCUGCAAAGGAAGCACCGGCUAACUCCGUGCCAGCAGCCGCGGUAAUACGUAGGUGGCGAGCGUUGUCCGGAAUUACUGGGUGUA